rnacentral:rRNA from 1 species
AUUGAACGCUGGCGGCAUGCCUAACACAUGCAAGUCGAACGAGUGGCGGACGGGUGAGUAAUGUAUCGGAAAGUGCCUGGUGGAGGGGGAUAACUACUGGAAACGGUAGCUAAUACCGCAUACUAUCGGAUGUGCCGAGAUGGGAUUAGCUAGUUGGUGGGGUAAAGGCUCACCAAGGCAACGAUCCGUAGCUGGUCUGAGAGGACGAACAGCCACACUGGAACUGAGACACGGCCCAGACUCCUACGUGAGGCAGCAGUGGGGAAUAUUGGACAAUGGGGGAAAGCCUGAUGCAGCCAUGCCGCGUGUAUGAAGAAGGCCUUCGGGUUGUAAAGUACUUUUAGCAGAGAGGCGUUAUCUGCAGAAGAAGCACCGGCUAACUACGUGCCAGCAGCCGCGGUAAUAC